rnacentral:rRNA from 1 species
GAUGAACGCUAGCGGGAGGCUUAACACAUGCAAGUCGAGGGGCAGCAUAGGGUAGCAAUACUCUGAUGGCGACCGGCAAACGGGUGAGUAACGCGUAUGCAACCUACCCUGUACAGGGGGAUAACCCGGAGAAAUUCGGACUAAUAUCCCGUAAUAAUAUCCGGAGGCAUCUUUGGAUAUUUAAAGUUUCGACGGUACGGGAUGGGCAUGCGUAACAUUAGCUGGUUGAUAAGGUAACGGCUUACCAAGGCUAUGAUGUUUAGGGGUCCUGAGAGGGUGGUCCCCCACACUGGUACUGAGACACGGACCAGACUCCUACGGGAGGCAGCAGUGAGGAAUAUUGGUCAAUGGGCGCAAGCCUGAACCAGCCAUCCCGCGUGCAGGAAGACGGCCCUAUGGGUUGUAAACUGCUUUUCCAGGGAGAGAAACUUACGCACGUGUUGCGUGACUGACGGUACCCUGGGAAUAAGCAUCGGCUAACUCCGUGCCAGCAGCCGCGUAAACGUAGCGUG